GACGAACCGUGCGAACGUUAUUCGGAAUCACUGGGCUUAAAGCGCGUGUAGGCGGGAGGGCACGUCCGUCGCUGAAAUCCCCCGGCUCAACCGGGGAACGGGCGCGGAUACGACCUUCCUGGAGGGGCGUAGGGGGACCUGGAACUUCCGGUGGAGCGGUGAAAUGCGUUGAGAUCGGAAGGAACGCCCGUGGCGAAAGCGAGGUCCUGGACGCCUACUGACGCUGAGGUGCGAAAGCGUGGGGAGCAAACAGG
rnacentral:rRNA from 1 species